GAUGAACGCUGGCGGCGUGCUUAACACAUGCAAGUCGAACGGAAAGGCCCAAGCUUGCUUGGGUACUCGAGUGGCGAACGGGUGAGUAACACGUGGGUGAUCUGCCCCGCACUUCGGGAUAAGCCUGGGAAACUGGGUCUAAUACCGGAUAGGACAGUGGUUUGGAUGCCAUUGUGGAAAGUUUUUUCGGUGUGGGAUGAGCUCGCGGCCUAUCAGCUUGUUGGUGGGGUAAUGGCCUACCAAGGCGUCGACGGGUAGCCGGCCUGAGAGGGUGUACGGCCACAUUGGGACUGAGAUACGGCCCAGACUCCUACGGGAGGCAGCAGUGGGGAAUAUUGCACAAUGGGCGCAAGCCUGAUGCAGCGACGCCGCGUGGGGGAUGACGGCCUUCGGGUUGUAAACUCCUUUCGCUAGGGACGAAGCAUUAUGUGACGGUACCUAGAGAAGAAGCACCGGCUAACUACGUG
rnacentral:rRNA from 1 species